UGGAAAUUGAGAUAGAAAAGUUGGGUC
rnacentral:piRNA from 1 species